rnacentral:rRNA from 1 species
UACAGAGGGGGCAAGCGUUGUUCGGAAUUACUGGGCGUAAAGGGCGCGUAGGCGGCCUGUUAAGUCGAACGUGAAAUCUCGGGGCUCAACCCCGAAACUGCAUUCGAUACUGCCGUGCUUGAGGACUGGAGAGGAGACUGGAAUUUACGGUGUAGCGGUGAAAUGCGUAGAUAUCGUAAGGAAGACCAGUGGCGAAGGCGGGUCUCUGGACAGUUCCUGACGCUGAGGCACGAAGGCCAGGGGAGCAAACGGG